AUUGAACGCUGGCGGCAGGCCUAACACAUGCAAGUCGAGCGGAGCGGCGGACGGGUGCGUAAUGCCUAGGAAUCUGCCUGGUAGUGGUGGAUAGCGUUCGGAAACGGGCGCUAAUACUGAAUACUAUCAGCUGAGCCUAGGUCGGAUUGGCUAGUGUGUGGGGUAAAGGCGUACCAAGGCGACGAUCCGUAACUGGUCUGAGAGGAUGAUCAGUCACACUGGAACUGAGACACGGUCCAGACUCCUACGGGAGGCAGCAGUGGGGAAUAUUGGACAAUGGGCGAAAGCCUGAUGCAGCCAUGCCGCGUGUGUGAAGAAGGUCUUCGGAUUGUAAAGCACUUUAAGUUGGGAGGCGUUACCAACAGAAUAAGCACCGGCUAACUUCGUGCCAGCAGCCGCGGUAAUAC
rnacentral:rRNA from 1 species